rnacentral:rRNA from 1 species
UACGUAGGGUGCAAGCGUUAAUCGGAAUUACUGGGCGUAAAGAGUGCGCAGGCGGUUUUGUAAGUCUGUCGUGAAAGCCCCGGGCUCAACCUGGGAAUUGCGAUGGAGACUGCAAGGCUUGAAUCUGGCAGAGGGGGGUAGAAUUCCACGUGUAGCAGUGAAAUGCGUAGAGAUGUGGAGGAACACCGAUGGCGAAGGCAGCCCCCUGGGUCAAGAUUGACGCUCAUGCACGAAAGCGUGGGGAGCAAACAGG